UACGGGGGGGGCAAGCGUUGUUCGGAAUUACUGGGCGUAAAGGGCUCGUAGGUGGCCAACUAAGUCAGACGUGAAAUCCCCCGGCUUAACCGGGGAACUGCGUCUGAUACUGGACGGCUUGAGUUUGGGAGAGGGACGCGGAAUUCCAGGUGUAGCGGUGAAAUGCGUAGAUAUCUGGAGGAACACCGGUGGCGAAGGCGGCGUCCUGGACCAACACUGACACUGAGGAGCGAAAGCCAGGGGAGCAAACGGG
rnacentral:rRNA from 1 species